rnacentral:rRNA from 1 species
AUGGCCUGGAGGCUGCCGCCCCUGGCCGUCCUCCUACUCCUCGUCGCCGCGGCCGUCGCCCCUCUCUCCUCCGCCGUCCGCCCGGUCUCCGACGCGCACAGAUCCGUCGCCGCCGAGCUCUUCGCCGCCUCCCCCGACGACUUGGAGACGACGUACGAGGCGGUCAGGACGUUCAAGAUGCUCGGGGUGCAGAGGGAUAAGGGCCUUGAUGGCAAGGCCUGCAAGCUCGCCGCCCAUACGCUGUCCUCGUCCUCGUCGCCCGCCAAGGAUCUGUUCCAGGCGGUCCAGAUCGCCGGCGUCCUCGGAUGCAGCGUCGAUGCCGGCGUUUACGAUGACGUCGCGUCGAGGCUUAAGGCUGUGAUCAAGGACACCGAUUCGCUGCUGGAGUUCUACUAUUCUGUCGGAGGCCUGCUCAGCCUGAAGGAACAAGGCCACAGUGUUGUUUUAUCUGACGCGGAUAGCACAUUUCACGCAAUAAAGGCACUUAGCCAAAGUGAUGGAAGAUGGCGCUAUGACACCAACAGUGCUGAAUCCAGUACAUUUGCUGCUGGUAUAGCACUAGAAGCAUUGGCAGGAGUUGUUUCACUGUCUGAUGCGGAGGUUGAUCCGUCUAUGAUAGGAGUCGUUAAAAAUGACAUCGUGAAGCUAUUUGGCACAAUCAAGAGCUAUGAUGAUGGAACCUUCUAUUUUGAUGAGAAGUAUGUUGAUGGUUCUGAAUACAAGGGCCCUAUAACAACUUCUGCUUCAGUAGUACGCGGUGUCACCUCCUUCGCUAAUGUUGUUUCUGGGAAAUUGAACAUCCCUGGUGAGAAAAUACUGGGCUUGGCAAAGUUCUUUCUUGGUAUUGGGCUCCCAGGUAGUGCAAAGGAUUGCUUUAAUCAGAUUGAGUCCUUGUCGCUCCUGGAAAACAAUAGGAUCUUUGUUCCUUUGAUCCUUUCACUUCCUUCCAAAGUACUGUCACUGACCUCCAAAGACCAGCUUAAGGUUGAAGUAACUACAGUGUUUGGUUCUGCGGCACCUCCCCUCAGAGUGAAUCUUGUCCAAGUCUUGGGCUCUGAUUCUAAGAUCAUCACCACUGACAGCAAGGAACUUCAGUUUGACCUCGACAACAAUGUUCAUUACUUGGACAUUACUCCAUUGAAAAUAGAUGUCGGGAAGUACUCGCUAGUUUUUGAGAUUACUCUUCAGGAUUCAGAACAUGAAACCGUUUACACUACUGGAGGGAGAAACACUGAGUCUGUCGUCGUUACAGGACUGAUCAAAGUUGACAAGGCAGAAAUUGGAAUUUCUGAGAAUGAUGCUGGGAGUGCGGAGUCUGUCGAAAAGUUAGAUCUGCUGAAAGAUACAAAAGUUUCUCUCUCUGCAAACCAUCUGCAGAAGUUACGUCUAUCUUUUCAACUAUCUACACCACUUGGACGCACAUUUAAACCUCACCAGGUUUUCUUGAAGUUAAAGCAUGAAAGCAAGGUUGAACACUUAUUUGUGGUGCCAGGUUCUGCGAGGCAAUUCAAAAUUGUUCUAGAUUUUCUUGGAUUGGUAGAGAAAUUUUACUACCUUUCUGGAACAUAUGACCUUGAGCUUUCUGUUGGUGAUGCUUCAAUGGAAAAUUCGUUCCUACGUGCCCUUGGCCAACUGGAGUUGGACUUGCCGGAGGCCCCUGAAAAGGCCCCACGUCCUCCGGCACAAGCUGUUGACCCGUUAGCAAAGUUUAGGCCACAAAAGGAGAUAGAGCACAUAUUCCGUGUGCCAGAGAAGAGGCCACUGCAGGAAGUAUCGCUUGCAUUUACUGGCCUCACACUCCUGCCUUUCAUUGGGUUCUUGAUUGGGCUUAUGCGUCUGGGAGUCAACUUGAAGAACUUCCCUUCCCUGCCAGGACCAGCUGCAUUCGCAUCACUCUUCCAUGCUGGAAUCGCAGCAGUACUGUUGCUCUAUGUUCUCUUCUGGGUUAAGCUGGAUCUUUUCACAACUCUGAAGUACCUCAGCUUCCUCGGCGUGUUCCUUGUGUUCGUUGGCCAUAGGACCCUAUCUCAUCUUUCCAACACGACGGCAAAACAGAAGACUGCUUGA